UACGGAGGGUGCAAGCGUUAUCCGGAUUCACUGGGUUUAAAGGGUGCGUAGGUGGUCCGAUAAGUCAGUGGUGAAAGCUACGCAGCUUAACUGUGAAACUGCCAUUGAAACUGCCGGACUUGAGUACGAUUGAUAUGGGCGGAAUACAUCAUGUAGCGGUGAAAUGCUUAGAUAUGAUGUAGAACACCGAAUUGCGAAGGCAGCUCACAAAAAUCGCAACUGACACUGAGGCACGAAAGCGUGGGGAGCAAACAGG
rnacentral:rRNA from 1 species